AUGAAAAUGGAUGUUUAUCGA
rnacentral:piRNA from 1 species